rnacentral:rRNA from 1 species
GCAUAACGCGAAGAACCUUACCAGGUCUUGACAUCCCUUUGACCGGUGCAGAGAUGUGCCUUUCCUUCGGGACAAAGGAGACAGGUGGUGCAUGGUUGUCGUCAGCUCGUGUCGUGAGAUGUUGGGUUAAGUCCCGCAACGAGCGCAACCCUUGAUCUUAGUUGCCAGCNACUUUGGGUGGGCACUCUAGGAUGACUGCCGGUGACAAACCGGNGGAAGUGGGAUGACGUCAAAUCAUCAUGCCCCUUAUGACCUGGGCUACACACGUACUACAAUGGCCGAUACAACGGGAAGCGAAGUCGCGAGGCGGAGCCAAUCCUAUCAAAGUCGGUCUCAGUUCGGAUUGCAGGCUGCAACUCGCCUGCAUGAAGUCGGAAUUGCUAGUAAUCGCGGAUCAGCAUGCCGCGGUGAAUACGUUCCCGGGUCUUGUACACACCG